rnacentral:lncRNA from 1 species
GCUGACGUGCAAAUCUCAGUGUGAUAUAAGAGAAUAAAUAUGGACUUUAAAAACGGUAAACGUGCUGCUGUUCAGAUGAUCCAGAUCUGGUAUAAAUGCAGUGUUUUAUGCUUAUGAACAGUCUUCUCUCAUCAGAUGUUAACGCUGGUGGUUUAUUAAACCAAGGAGACACUUGUUACCUGAACAAUGUGAAGCAGGAGCUGUUCCAAGGCUUCAGAGAAGCUGUGGAGAGACACAACACCUGCAUGGAUCGACACCUUAAAGACCUGUUUGAUGAGCUGCAGCGUCGCACACCCAGCACCAACACAAUCCUAAACAAGCUGGGCAUCGACAGAGGUACAGGAUCAGCAGAACAGCGUCAGCAUCACGUCUGCUGAUCAGAGUCCUGUGGAUGUGGGUCCUGAACCACACACAAUCAGCAUUUGACUGAAUGAGCUCAUUGGUCGCUCUGCUCCUGUUUCCUCAGUGUGGGAACAACAAGACGCUGCUGAGUUCUACGUAAAGAUCUUAAGUCAAACCAGUGAAGAUGCUUCACAGGUAAAAGCAUCACUAACGUCAAACAGUCGCUCAGAUCCAAACUAAAACUUAUCAGUGUCUGUGUUUUGUUUGCAGAUCUUCCACGGAGCAUUGACACAUACGACCAUAUGUCAUAAUCCUCAGUGUGGAGCACAGAAACCUGCAGACUCACGUUUCUGGCAUCUUCCUCUCUCAUUGAAUGAUUCCCACAGUGAAGAAUAUCAAGUGGUGAGAAUCUGACGGUCUGUGAACUAAACACAUGGUGUCAAACAGACCAAAGACUAAUGUAAAGAACCAUCAGCGUGAUGUUGGGUCAGAACCAUUACUCUUUACUUAGUUACUCUUUACCUUGUACAGAUAAACAGCCGCCACCAUCGCUGUGUAAUGAAACCUAGACUUGAUGACCAUCAUUAGCAGAUGGUUGCAUUGAACGUAUGAUCUCAGUCUGAUGCACAAAGUGAAGUUCAUUAUUAAAGACAAACUCCAGUUGUGGUGCUGGUGUCAGUAAUGUGGUUACGUGUCAGUAAAAGUUAGUGUCUCAGGUUUAUCCAGCCACUAAUUGUCACUUAUAACAGUGUAUGUUUCAUAGUUUCCAUUUGUCACAUACUAUUAAGAGAUUGACUUACUAGCAGAUGUUGUUCAUGAGUUUAAUGUUUAAACUGUUGAACUGAGUUUUUACAUCAGUUAGUCUCUCCUGUCUCUCUGCCCCAUCAUAACUUGUAUCAUGACUCCUCUCUGAACCUGAGGCAUUUCCUUAUUGAAGAACCCAAUCUAGAUACACGUUUAUUGCCAGUAAUUAUCACAGUCUUUGUUCACUGUGAUGCUGAAAGCUGACUUGCUUUAUGGACUGUUCACCUUCACAGUGUAAUUACUGCCACUGUGUCAUUUAUGGUGUUUAUGUUAUAAAGACUGGUUCUGGAGUUUGGUCUUGACCCCAAUCUGUCACUGGCUGCUGUUUAAAACCCUCCUCUUUAUCAGAUAUUUAUUGAUAUUCGUGCCAAUUAAGCCGGUCAGUGAUUCAGUGCCUGAGCUGAUUCCAGCUGUCAGUGACAUCAGUGUGUUUUUCAGGUGAACGGCAUCAGGGAGUUUUUCAGAGAUUCUCAUUUCAGUGGACUGGACCAGAUGUACUGUGAGGAGUGUGAUGACAAAGUGGACGCGACUGUUGUGAGUGAUCACAGCGUGUCUGAUGCACCAACAUUAACAGUGUUUAUUAAUGUUCAUAAUUUAAUAAGCAGCUGAUGACAACAUAUUAAAUCAUGUUUAUGUGUUUGCUUCAGACAUGUGAAGUGAAGCAUCAUCCAGAGGUUUUAGUUCUGCUGCUGAAGAGGUUUGACUUUGACUAUCGUUACAUGAGAUACGUCAAAAACAACCGCGCUGUGAUUGUUCCUGUCACUCUGAACCUCCCAGAGGUACUUAUACUGUUUGUUUACAGCAUCUUUAUUCUUCUGGUCCUAAAGCCUGUGAUGUCUAUUGGUCCAUCAGAACCAGACCUAUGAGCUCUAUGCUGUGGUGGAUCACGCUGGUGAUCUCAGAGGUGGACAUUAUGAUGCAACGAUCAAGUCUCAGGACGACGAUCGAUGGUACAACUUCAAUGACGGCAUCGUCUCGUUGGUAAAACUGAUCAGCUUCACUCUGACGAUGCUGAUAAUUGUUGGUCCACAUCAGUGUUUCAGGAUGUUUUAAUCUCCUUUUCAUCCACAGCUCAGUUACCAGCCGUUACAGGUGGAUCGCACUGAGAGGCAGGUUUUUAUCUGUUGGUUUUUAACACAUACAUGAUCCUGAAUAGAAAAACAACAUUCUAGCUCUUCUCUCGUCUCCAUUCAGGUCCCACAGCGCGUAUCUUCUAUUCUACAGGAAACAGACAAGUAAAGGACAAACGUUUCCUUCAUGUUCAAACACAGUUUAACAAACACAUCAAACUGAUACUUACUUUAUAUCUUUUAUGUAGGUGUGACACCAGGUGGACGACAGACCUCAGGUCAGAAACAGGAUGUGUCUUCUACAUGUUCAAACUGUUUGGUCAGUUGUUACAAUGUCUUCAGUUUUCCUUCAUGAUGCUUUUUCUCCUCAUUAGCUCCUAUAUAUCACGGUUUAUUGAACCAAGGAGCCACAUGUUACCUGAACAGUUUGCUGCAGGUGCUGUUCAUGACCAGAGAGUUCAGAGAAGCUGUGGACCGGUUUGUUAUAUGAAGUCAGUCAUGACUGAUUAAACCCCGCACAUUUGUCUGUCUGACCCUUUGUGUGUUUGGUUCAGGUACAUCAUGACUCUUAGAGUCUUGCUUAGAGACUUACACAGACACACAGUCGACGCCUGUGACAUCAUAACCAAGCUGCUCACCACAGGUACAGUAUCAGCUGAUACAACAGGCCUGAUGCAAACACACAACAGGACAUGAACUGUCCUGUUUUAAGAUCUAUUGUUUCCUGUCACUGAAGGGUUUAACACAGUCAGACGUUUGUUAAGUGUUUUAUAUUUUUACAGUGUUAUGUCAUAAACACAGCUCGUGUUGAUUUCUGCUCCUCUCUCUGUCAGUGUUUGAACCACAGGAAGCUGCUGAGGACGUCCAGAGGAUCUCUUUUCCCAACAUGCAUCAGGCUUCACAGGUAAAACAUGGCUGACAUUAAAACCAGUCUGUUAAACUAGAAGAAAGACGCAACUGGUUCAUCAUCUGUGUUUGUGUUUCAGUCCCAGACCAGAUGUUGUAAAUGUGAGACAGGGAGAAGCAGAGAAUCACCACUUUGGCAUCUUCCUCUCACACUGAUGGAUUCAAACAGUGAAGAAUAUAGUUUGGUAAAACGACGACAAUGCGAUAUGCAAAAAACAUUUUCAUCAUUCAGAGCAGUGUUGUAUCUAAUGCUUCCACCAAAAACUAGAUUUUUCAAUAACCUUCAAACAUUGAGGACAAACUGAGUCUGUGCUCAUUAAUAAUCAAUCAGAACAAACCAGUUUCUUGUUUUACUUUAACACUAGUGUGUUUUCAGGAGGACGGACUGAAGCAGUCUCUCACUGACCAGGUGUCCUGUGAACGGUGCUGUUCCACAAUUGAUGUCAUCACUGUGAGUGAUAAUAAGGUUUCAGAUUCAUGUUCAAUAAUGUGACAGAUGCAAACAGUCUAAUAAUAAAUAUCAUGUUUUUCUGGUAGAAAUGUGAGGU